AACACAAUCAUAACAAAAUUAUGAUGGUGUGGACGCAACAAAACAGAAAGAAAAAUAAAUAAAUGCAUUGGGCUGCCUCCCAACAAGCGCUAUUGUUUGACGCCCUUAGCUAGGCAUGAUGAUUUCAAUGAUGCUCACAUAAAAGAUAAGGAUUGAAGCACAACGAGAGCAUCAUGGAGCAUAUGGAUAGCACAUUUAAGUCUAACCCACUUCCUAUGCAUAGGGAUUUUGUGAUCAAACAAUUUAUUGGAGCAAGAAUCAACUAGCAUAGGAAGGCAAAACAAGCAUAGCUUCAAAAAUUUCAACACGUGGAGAGGAAGCUUGAUACUAUUGCAAUAAGUAGAAGCAUAUGAUCCUCUCUCAUAGUAAUUUUCAGUAGCAUCAUGAAUGAAUUCAACAAUAUAACCAGCACCUAAGGCUUUCUUUUCAUGGUCUACAAGCAUAGAAAUUUUACUACUCUCCACAUAAGGAAAUCUAUUCUCAAGAAUAGUAGUGGGAGUAUCAUAAAAGACUUGAGCACUACAAAUUGUG
rnacentral:lncRNA from 1 species